GCUCGCCGAGCUCAGUCGGUAGAGCACGAAAUUCUUAAUCUCGGGGUUGUGGGUUCAAACCCCACGUUGGGCA